UUUAUGGAGAGUUUGAUCCUGGCUCAGGACGAACGCUGGCGGCGUGCCUAAUACAUGCAAGUCGAGCGGACUCAACGGUUUCCUUCGGGAAACCGUUAGGUUAGCGGCGGACGGGUGAGUAAUACGUAGGUAACCUGCCCUUAAGACUGGGAUAACUCACGGAAACGUGGGCUAAUACCGGAUAGGCGAUUUGCUCGCAUGAGGGAAUCGGGAAAGGCGGAGCAAUCUGCCACUUAUGGAUGGACCUACGUCGCAUUAGCUAGUUGGUGGGGUAACGGCUCACCAAGGCGACGAUGCGUAGCCGACCUGAGAGGGUGAUCGGCCACACUGGGACUGAGACACGGC
rnacentral:ncRNA from 1 species